GUGGCCGCGGCCGUCACCACUGUCCUCCUCAGGCGCUCGAAGAGGCCCUCUCGCUCCGCCAGUGAUCUUCCUCAUAAAGAGGACCAGGGCCUGCAGAACCCUGCCUUCUCUGCACCACAGAUCCACACCAUCUAUCAGAACGUCAACAUCAAGCAGUGACCAGAAGGAGCCCUGUCCCCACCUUCAGUCUCCACCCACUCUCACCCUCCAGCCAAUAGCAUUGCUGCUGCA